CUACAGGUGCGCUGAAACUAAACGUUUCUUCCUCGAGUGUAGGGCACUUGUUUUUCGCAUUGACAAUGGAUUUACUUGCGCAAACCUACACGUUGAAACACGUCUCUAAUUGAGUAGCUGAAGAUGGAGGUUCCCCUAGAGGGGGAUGUGCAGGGCAGCCCUGGAAAAGGAUCCAGUCCAGAAGAAGACAAGCAUGGACAUGUGGGUCCCAUGCAGCAUAAGAGGCCAUCCUCUCCAGUACCGAGCUGUGUGUCCAUGAAGAGUGAC